rnacentral:rRNA from 1 species
ACACUCCUGCGGGAGGCAGCAGUGGGGAAUAUUGCACAAUGGGCGCAAGCCUGAUGCAGCCAUGCCGCGUGUAUGAAGAAGGCCUUCGGGUUGUAAAGUACUUUCAGCGGGGAGGAAGGCGAUAAGGUUAAUAACCUUGUUGAUUGACGUUACCCGCAGAAGAAGCACCGGCUAACUCCGUGCCAGCAGCCGCGGUAAUACGGAGGGUGCAAGCGUUAAUCGGAAUUACUGGGCGUAAAGCGCACGCAGGCGGUCUGUCAAGUCGGAUGUGAAAUCCCCGGGCUCAACCUGGGAACUGCAUUCGAAACUGGCAGGCUAGAGUCUUGUAGAGGGGGGUAGAAUUCCAGGUGUAGCGGUGAAAUGCGUAGAGAUCUGGAGGAAUACCGGUGGCGAAGGCGGCCCCCUGGACAAAGACUGACGCUCAGGUGCGAAAGCGUGGGGAGCAAACAGGAUUAGAUACCCUUGUAGUCCCAUG